UUAUCCAACUCGUUGAAUGGUGUGGCGGGAUAUUUCUGGUAUUGUUGGCCCGGCCUUACAACAACCAAACAAGUUUGACCUCAAAUCAGGUAGGAAUACCCGCUGAACUUAAGCAUAUCAAUAAGCGGAGGAAAAGAAACCAACAGGGAUUGCCUUAGUAGCGGCGAGUGAAGCGGCAAAAGCUCAAAUUUGAAAUCUGGCGCCUUCGGUGUCCGAGUUGUAAUUUGAAGAUUGUAACCUUGGGGUUGGCUCUUGUCUAUGUUUCUUGGAACAGGACGUCACAGAGGGUGAGAAUCCCGUGCGAUGAGAUGCCCAAUUCUAUGUAAGGUGCUUUCGAAGAGUCGAGUUGUUUGGGAAUGCAGCUCUAAGUGGGUGGUAAAUUCCAUCUAAAGCUAAAUAUUGGCGAGAGACCGAUAGCGAACAAGUACAGUGAUGGAAAGAUGAAAAGAACUUUGAAAAGAGAGUGAAAAAGUACGUGAAAUUGUUGAAAGGGAAGGGUUUGAGAUCAGACUCGAUAUUUUGUGAGCCUUGCCUUCGUGGCGGGGUGACCCGCAGCUUAUCGGGCCAGCAUCGGUUUGGGCGGUAGGAUAAUGGCGUAGGAAUGUGACUUUACUUCGGUGAAGUGUUAUAGCCUGCGUUGAUGCUGCCUGCCUAG
rnacentral:rRNA from 1 species